AUGCUCGUCUCGGUCUUCGUCACGCAGCCAAUGCACGCCGCACUUGUACGACCUGCUUGCCUCUGCCACCGCAAUAGGCGUCGGUUCCAUGGACCACGCCUCCGACGACUUAGGAGGUUGACCCCUGUGGGGAAGCUGGCGGGAGGCCGACGCCGUCGAGGCGCUCGCCGCCGUGUCCGCCGCCGCGAGGCGCGGGAAUGCGGCGGUCUGCUGGCAGGUGGCUGCCAAGGCCAGGGCUAUCGGGUAGGAGAGCGACCACAACCGCCGGUUCCUCAGCUGCUCCCCUCGGCUUUCCAGAGCCUCAUUGGUGAGCCCGUGUAUGGCACCAGCGCCGCAGUAUUGGGCGCAUUGGGAAGGUCUUUGUGGCCCUUAGCGUGUUCUUCCCGCUCGACGAGGAGGCCCGGCGCUACAUUGCCUCCCUGA
rnacentral:rRNA from 1 species